rnacentral:rRNA from 1 species
GACGAACGCUGGCGGCGUGCUUAACACAUGCAAGUCGAACGGAAAGGCCCCUUUGGGGGUACUCGAGUGGCGAACGGGUGAGUAACACGUGAGUAACCUGCCCUUUACUUCGGGAUAACUUCAGGAAACUGGGGCUAAUACCGGAUAGGAAUCCUUGCUGCAUGGUGGGGGUUGGAAAGCUUCGGGGGUUUUGGAUGGACUCGCGGCCUAUCAGCUUGUUGGUGGGGUAGUGGCUUACCGAGGCUUUGACGGGUAGCCGGCCUGAGAGGGCGACCGGCCACACUGGGACUGAGGUACGGCCCAGACUCCUACGGGAGGCAGAAGUGGGGAAUAUUGCACAAUGGGCGGAAGCCUGAUGCAGCAACGCCGCGUGCGGGAUGACGGCCUUCGGGUUGUAAACCGCUUUCAGCAGGGGCGAAGCUUGUGGUGACGGUACCUGCAGAAGAAGCACCGGCUAACUACGUG